rnacentral:rRNA from 1 species
CACGCCCUAAACGAUGUCAACUAGGUGUUGGGGGAGGAGACUUCCUUAGUACCGCAGCUAACGCGUGAAGUUGACCGCCUGGGGAGUACGGUCGCAAGAUUAAAACUCAAAGGAAUUGAC